rnacentral:ncRNA from 1 species
GUAGAGUAGAUGUUAUACGUUAAGUGUCACAGGAGGGGAAGACUUCCUGCGAACGAAGGUUCAGCCGCGUUAUAAUAUCGCUUCCGCUA